rnacentral:rRNA from 1 species
CCAGACUCCUACGGGAGGCAGCAGUUGGGAAUAUUGGACAAUGGAGGAAGCUCUGAUCCAGUGACGCCGCGUGAAGGAAGAAGGUCUUCGGAUUGUAAACUUAUUUUGUCAGGGAAGAAAAAAAUGACUGUACCUGAAGAAAAAGCACCGGCUAACUACGUGCCAGCAGCCGCGGUAAUACGUAGGUGGCAAGCGUUAUCCGGAUUUACUGGGUGUAAAGGGCGUGUAGGCGGGACUGCAAGUCAGAUGUGAAAACCAUGGGCUCAACCUGUGGCCUGCAUUUGAAACUGUAGUUCUUGAGUACUGGAGAGGCAGACGGAAUUCCUAGUGUAGCGGUGAAAUGCGUAGAUAUUAGGAGGAACACCAGUGGCGAAGGCGGUCUGCUGGACAGCAACUGACGCUGAGGCGCGAAAGCGUGGGGAGCAAACAGGAUUAGAUACCCGAGUA